CCUACAGGUGGCAGCAGUGAGGAAUAUUUGUCAAUGGCCGCAGGGCUGAACCAGCCAAGUCGCGUGAGGGAUGACGGUCCUAUGGAUUGUAAACCUCUUUUGUCAGGGAGCAAACGACGCCACGUGUGGCGUUUUGCGAGUACCUGAAGAAAAACCAUCGGCUAACUCCGUGCCCGCAGCAGCUGUACUACGGAGGAAGCGAGCGUUAUGCGGCUUUAUGGGGUUUAAAGGGUGCGCAGGCGGAAGGUGACGUCAGCGGGAAAAUUUAGGGGCUCAACCCCGUCGUGCCGUUGAAACUGGCGUUCUUGAGUGAGCGAGAAGUAUGCGGAAUGCGUGGUGUAGCGGUGAAAUGCAUAGAUAUCACGCAGAACUCCGAUUGCGAAGGCAGCAUACCGGCGCUCAACUGACGCUCAGGCACGAAAGCGUGGGUAUCGAACAGGAUUAGAUACCCUGGUAGUC
rnacentral:rRNA from 1 species